UUUUGCCAGGAACAGGAAAGGAAUGGAGUCUUAGAACUUAGGAGAAUGUAUUUGGAUUCUGCAGAGUUAUUGCUGCUUUGUGAUCUAAAGUGAGUAACAGCAUGAAUAGCAACUAGACAAACAGAAGUUCACUGGGAUAGAACUAAGAACCAAAGUGAAAGUGGCAUAAGAGCUGGUAUGUGAAGACGAUACAUGAGGUUGUCAAAUGGAGGAUCACAGGGCUGGAGUGAUGUGAGAAAUUUAUGCAGUGAAUAAGAAAAGACACAUGCCAUAGGACAAGAGAAGAUACAGUAUUGUUGAAGAUAAAAGGCAGCACAGAACUGCAAAGCAAAUAUCAUGAUGCCCAUCUGAGCCUCUUAUCAGCUUAAUCAGAAGUAUCAACCCCUUGAAAUGGAGAGGUAAUUCAGAUGUCUCUAAUGGAUGUUGUUUCAAACUCACUGCGGACUCAGGAAGAAAGAACUGAAUUGGAUACACUUGUGUUACAUUUUAAGGUUAUCUUUGCCAUUAUAUCUGCUAAAGAUUUUUUUUUUAAAUGAAAGGUUAGAUUCUGGAGCAGAAGAUCACAGCCUCCAGAAAAAGAACCACUUUACCAACCCACUGCAAGCCAUCCUAAAUAUUCUCCUUCUAGAGUAGUUUUUAACAUUGUAAAACAUGAAAUUAAGACAAUCCAUUAUUUUGCAUUCUACUCAUCUAAGGCUGAUUAGUGCA